rnacentral:rRNA from 1 species
AUUGAACGCUGGCGGCAGGCCUAACACAUGCAAGUCGAACGAGUGGCGGACGGGUGAGUAAUGUCUGGGAAACUGCCCGAUGGAGGGGGAUAACUACUGGAAACGGUAGCUAAUACCGCAUACCAUCGGAUGUGCCCAGAGUGGAUUAGCUUGUAGUUGAGGUAACGGCUCACAUAGGCGACGAUCCCUAGCUGGUCUGAGAGGAUGACCAGCAACACUGGAACUGGGACACGGUGCAGACUCCUACGGGAGGCAGCAGUGGGGAAGAUUGCACAAUGGGCGAAAGCCUGAUGCAGCAAGGCCGCGGGUAUGAAGAAGGCCUUCGGGUUGUAAAGUACUUUCAGCGGGGAGGCGUUACCCACAGAAGAAGCACCGGCUAACUCCGUGUCAGCCGCCGCGGUAAUUC